UGUGCAUUGGUGGGGUCCCUCGGCCUGGCCUGCACCCUCUCACAAUCCAGGACCCCUCAGGGGAUGUUGGACAGCCGGUUUAGGCCUGAUCCCCGCAGGUCAGGCCGAGGGACCCCACCAGUGCACG
rnacentral:pre_miRNA from 1 species